AGAGUUUGAUCCUGGCUCAGGACGAACGCUGGCGGCGUGCCUAAUACAUGCAAGUCGAGCGAGCUUGCCUAGAUGAUUUUAGUGCUUGCACUAAAUGAAACUAGAUACAAGCGAGCGGCGGACGGGUGAGUAACACGUGGGUAACCUGCCCAAGAGACUGGGAUAACACCUGGAAACAGAUGCUAAUACCGGAUAACAACACUAGACGCAUGUCUAGAGUUUGAAAGAUGGUUCUGCUAUCACUCUUGGAUGGACCUGCGGUGCAUUAGCUAGUUGGUAAGGUAACGGCUUACCAAGGCAAUGAUGCAUAGCCGAGUUGAGAGACUGAUCGGCCACAUUGGGACUGAGACACGGCCCAAACUCCUACGGGAGGCAGCAGUAGGGAAUCUUCCACAAUGGACGAAAGUCUGAUGGAGCAACGCCGCGUGAGUGAAGAAGGGUUUCGGCUCGUAAAGCUCUGUUGGUAGUGAAGAAAGAUAGAGGUAGUAACUGGCCUUUAUUUGACGGUAAUUACUUAGAGAGUCACGGCUAACUACGUGCCAGCAGCCGCGGUAAUACGUAGGUGGCAAGCGUUGUCCGGAUUUAUUGGGCGUAAAGCGAGUGCAGGCGGUUCAAUAAGUCUGAUGUGAAAGCCUUCGGCUCAACCGGAGAAUUGCAUCAGAAACUGUUGAACUUGAGUGCAGAAGAGGAGAGUGGAACUCCAUGUGUAGCGGUGGAAUGCGUAGAUAUAUGGAAGAACACUAGUGGCGAAGGCGGCUCUCUGGUCUGCAACUGACGCUGAGGCUCGAAAGCAUGGGUAGCGAACAGGAUUAGAUACCCUGGUAGUCCAUGCCGUAAACGAUGAGUGCUAAGUGUUGGGAGGUUUCCGCCUCUCAGUGCUGCAGCUAACGCAUUAAGCACUCCGCCUGGGGAGUACGACCGCAAGGUUGAAACUCAAAGGAAUUGACGGGGGCCCGCACAAGCGGUGGAGCAUGUGGUUUAAUUCGAUGAUACGCGAGGAACCUUACCCGGGCUCAAACGGGAGACGGCAGGGGCAGAGACGCCCCUUUCCCUCGGGACGUCUUCCGAGGUGCUGCAUGGUUGUCGUCAGCUCGUGCCGUGAGGUGUCGGCUUAAGUGCCAUAACGAGCGCAACCCCCGCGUGCAGUUGCCAGCAGGAAAGGCUGGGGACUCUGCACGGACGGCCGGCGCAAGCCGCGAGGAAGGCGGGGAUGACGUCAAAUCAGCACGGCCCUUACGUCCGGGGCGACACACGUGUUACACUGGGGGGUACAGCGGGAAGCCAGGCGGCGACGCCGAGCGGAACCCGAAAGCCCCUCUCAGUUCGGAUCGGAGUCUGCAACCCGACUCCGUGAAGCUGGAUUCGCUAGUAAUCGCGCAUCAGCCAUGGCGCGGUGAAUACGUUCCCGGGCCUUGCACUCACCGCCCGUCA
rnacentral:rRNA from 1 species